UUAGUGGGGAAGGAGUUUACUGGAAGUUGAGAGAAGAGAGUAUGGAAGUGGAGAGAAAGAGUAUGGAAGUGGGAACUCAGGAACAGCUCAGGGCUGUUAGCCUACUCUGAAAUCUAGAGAUGUGUGCUGUCUGGUGGAGGGAAGGAGAGGUGGCCCAAGGAUCCUUGCUGUCUUGUAGUGUUUCUAUCACCAACUGCCAGAUUGUUUUGGUGCCAAUAUUCAGUCGUAGUGCUGUUAAAAUCCCUCCAAAACCUGGCCAAGGUAAUAAAAUACUUUGGCAAUUACUAUUGACAGUUCUGGAUAAUCUUGAAGGCUGCCUUGCCUGAAGAAGAUGAGUGUUACAAAUCACUCCACUGAAAGAGGGAAGAACAGCAGCAGGCAGCAGACAGGUUUCAAUUUCACAAUGCUGAUUAUCUCAUUCGUGAUUCUAUGCAUGCCUAAAUCUGAGGAUCCCUCAAGCAGCUAUAUGGACUCCUACUUUUAAAAUGCCUAUUAUGCUUUUAUACUUUUUGCUGCUUCCUGAAGAGUGCCAUUUCGCCAAGCUUAAAUAGCAGAAAAUUGCACUGCUUUUCCUCUGCCCAUCUCCUCAAUCUCUAUUAACCUGCACAAGAACAAAGGAAUAUGAUGGUCCAGCUAUAGGUUUGGAAAUAGGUUUGAAGUUGUUUUUCAUUUACUGGUAGCCGUCUUUCUGAUUCAUAAAUGUAGUUUAACAAUAAUGUCAUUUUAAUGCAUUAAGAAAUGAUUGACAAUGCAGAAUUUUUAAUCUUGAUGUGUGGACAUACACAUGAUGUACACAGAUUUAUGCACACUUUUUCAAAAAUGUGAAUUUAUGUGCAUAUAUUAUUUACAUAAGCUUCAGAUGAUGACAGAUCACUCACAUAAUGUGUUAUACCUUAACUAAAGGUAUAAAAUAAAACUACUCCAAUUGGAAUUCUUUUCCUUUAGGUUGCAUGAGAACAAUAAGAUACAUCAUCAACAACAACAAAAGGAAAUCGUUGAAGCAUCUAGUUUUAAUGCAUGCAGUAGGCCUUUAUUAGAUGUCAUAAACUAAAUGAUGCAUUAGUCUGUGGACCACUUAUAACCUAUGAAUUUUGAGGUAAAAAGGAGGACAAAGAGUUCUUUUGAAACAAUAAGGUUAAAUGUUCUUUCGAAUCAAGCCAUAUUUUAUUAAAUGCAGAAUACCUAAUAGACUCAGAGAGAUCUGAGACUAUUUCACUUUAAUGUUUUUAAUGCACUCCUGUAUUACCUUUAAGAAUAAAGAGUAUUUUACUUAAACACAUUAUAUUGAAUAUAAGAACCAUAUACAUACAUCCUAUCAUCCAUUCCAAUUGUAUUAUUAAACAAAGAAGAAACUAUUUUAAAAUUCCUAUGACUGAUAAAGAUCUGACAGCUCAAUGUCCAUUCUAAGCAAUUACAUUAAAAUUCAUAUGGGUUGUCAGACAUACAUGUACACACAAAGGUAAUUUUGUCCAUCUAAAAUUUUUUUUUUAAGAAAAGAAAAAGAAGAUCUGCUUUGCAUUUAAAAAGAUAAAAAAAUGUUUUUGAAAAUGACAAUUGCUGGCUGGCCAUCGAUUUCUAGCUUUAAUCUCAUAGCCUACUCAAAUUUCCCAUUAUGUCUCACUGAGGCUUAGACGGAUAGAAAGGCCAAACUACGGCCUUCAACAAAAAUGGAGGGGGGUUGUGGAGUGUUAUAACAUUAAGACACACAGCUGUUGCUCACAAACCGCAAAUAUUGUCUUAACUUGCAGUAUGUUUUGCCUACUUUGCUGCUAAUAAAGUGUUUUGCAUGCUUUCUAUAAA